AGAGGUUGAUGCCAUAGCAGAAGCGCUCACAGCACAGCCAUGUCAGAUUCCAACAAAUCUGUGAAUUCUGCU
rnacentral:lncRNA from 1 species